rnacentral:rRNA from 1 species
GAUGAACGCUGGCGGCGUGCCUAAUACAUGCAAGUCGAGCGAACGGACGAGAAGCUUGCUUCUCUGAUGUUAGCGGCGGACGGGUGAGUAACACGUGGAUAACCUACCUAUAAGACUGGGAUAACUUCGGGAAACCGGAGCUAAUACCGGAUAAUAUUUUGAACCGCAUGGUUCAAAAGUGAAAGACGGUCUUGCUGUCACUUAUAGAUGGAUCCGCGCUGCAUUAGCUAGUUGGUAAGGUAACGGCUUACCAAGGCAACGAUGCAUAGCCGACCUGAGAGGGGGAUCGGCCACACUGGAACUGAGACACGGUCCAGACUCCUACGGGAGGCAGCAGUAGGGAAUCUUCCGCAAUGGGCGAAAGCCUGACGGAGCAACGCCGCGUGAGUGAUGAAGGUCUUCGGAUCGUAAAACUCUGUUAUUAGGGAAGAACAUAUGUAUAAGUAACUGUGCACAUCUUGACGGUACCUAAUCAGAAAGCCACGGCUAACUACGUG